AUUGAACGCUGGCGGCAGGCUUAACACAUGCAAGUCGAGCGGUAGCACAGGGGAGCUUGCUCCCUGGGUGCCGAGCGGCGGACGGGUGAGUAGUGUCUGAGACACUGCCUUAGGGAGGGGGAUAACUACUGGAAACGGUAGCUAAUACCGCUUAACGUCGCAACACCAAAGAGGGGGACCUUCGGGCCUCUUGCCUCGAGAUGCGCCCAGUUGGGAUUAGCUAGUGGUAGGGGCUAUGGAUGACGUAGGCCAGGAUCGCACCCUGGGGUGAGAGGAUGACCAGCCACACUGGAACUGAAACACGGUCCAGACCCCUACGGGAGGCAGCAGUGGGGAAUAUUGCACAAUGGGCGCAAGCCUGAUGCAGCCAUGCCGCGUGUGGGAAGAGGGCCUUCGGGUUGUAAAGCUCUAUUAGCGAGGAGGAAGGUUGUGAGCUUAAUACGUUCAGCAAUUGACGUUACCAGCAGAAGAAGCACCGGCUAACUCCGUG
rnacentral:rRNA from 1 species